rnacentral:rRNA from 1 species
UACAGAGGUCUCAAGCGUUGUUCGGAUUCAUUGGGCGUAAAGGGUGUGUAGGUGGCGCGCUAAGUCGGGUGUGAAAUUUCGGAGCUUAACUCCGAAACUGCAUUCGAUACUGGCGGUGCUUGAGGACUGGAGAGGAGACUGGAAUUUACGGUGUAGCAGUGAAAUGCGUAGAUAUCGUAAGGAAGACCAGUGGCGAAGGCGGGUCUCUGGACAGCAACUGACGCUGAGGCACGAAGGCCAGGGGAGCAAACGGG